UGAAGAGUUUGAUCAUGGCUCAGAUUGAACGCUGGCGGCAGGCCUAACACAUGCAAGUCGAACGGUAACAGGAAGCAGCUUGCUGCUUUGCUGACGAGUGGCGGACGGGUGAGUAAUGUCUGGGAAACUGCCUGAUGGAGGGGGAUAACUACUGGAAACGGUGGCUAAUACCGCAUAACGUCGCAAGACCAAAGAGGGGGACCUUCGGGCCUCUUGCCAUCAGAUGUGCCCAGAUGGGAUUAGCUUGUUGGUGAGGUAACGGCUCACCAAGGCGACGAUCCCUAGCUGGUCUGAGAGGAUGACCAGCCACACUGGAACUGAGACACGGUCCAGACUCCUACGGGAGGCAGCAGUGGGGAAUAUUGCACAAUGGGCGCAAGCCUGAUGCAGCCAUGCCGCGUGUAUGAAGAAGGCCUUCGGGUUGUAAAGUACUUUCAGCGGGGAGGAAGGUGUUGUGGUUAAUAACCACAGCAAUUGACGUUACCCGCAGAAGAAGCACCGGCUAACUCCGUGCCAGCAGCCGCGGUAAUACGGAGGGUGCAAGCGUUAAUCGGAAUUACUGGGCGUAAAGCGCACGCAGGCGGUCUGUCAAGUCGGAUGUGAAAUCCCCGGGCUCAACCUGGGAACUGCAUUCGAAACUGGCAGGCUUGAGUCUUGUAGAGGGGGGUAGAAUUCCAGGUGUAGCGGUGAAAUGCGUAGAGAUCUGGAGGAAUACCGGUGGCGAAGGCGGCCCCCUGGACAAAGACUGACGCUCAGGUGCGAAAGCGUGGGGAGCAAACAGGAUUAGAUACCCUGGUAGUCCACGCCGUAAACGAUGUCUACUUGGAGGUUGUGCCCUUGAGGCGUGGCUUCCGGAGCUAACGCGUUAAGUAGACCGCCUGGGGAGUACGGCCGCAAGGUUAAAACUCAAAUGAAUUGACGGGGGCCCGCACAAGCGGUGGAGCAUGUGGUUUAAUUCGAUGCAACGCGAAGAACC
rnacentral:rRNA from 2 species